CUAUUACUACUAACCUUUAGGCACAAAGAAUGUCUUUCGAUGUGAGUGAUAAAUAGAGAAGACUGCAACCGUAGUCUCCUUCUAACCUUGGUAAGGAUGAUCUACUGUUCUAAUGGGGAGGCUAACGGAAUCUAGACACCACAAAGGAUGUUCGACCCGCACCUAUAAACCCUAUCCUUCCUGCUAACGAGAUGUGAUCUACAAAGGUAGCUUGGAAUUGUCACGUUCCUCACUACUACCACGGUCUAGCUAGUCAGGGAAUAUCUAUCAGUACCCCAGCCUAAACACCACAUUUACGCCAGCAAUGAUUACUCUAAACUCUACGCGAAGAGAUUAAAGUAAACUCAUAAACCAUAAGAACAAUAAAACAAGAACUUACUAGAAUUUAGAAGUUGAAUUACUGAAGAAUCCUAGGAGCAAGCUUCGGGUUAGGAGAACUUGAUCCCGCAGGUACAAGCUUGGAGUAGACACCGACAGGCCGGGCUUCCUCCAAUCUACACCUCCACUCUAUCUCUCUCAAUCUAGUAGAAACUAGAAGAUCUAUUUCUACCUUACAUUGGUUGCUAAGCCUAAAAAGAAAUAUUAAUUAGAGAAGAGGUUUUCCUUCGAGGGCACCCCUCAGUCUCUAUGAUAAUUUCUUCAUGUCUUCUCCAGGGGCUAGGGGGGCCUUGCUUAUAUAGUCCUCCCCUUCUAUGCGUUUUUGGGUCGAUAGGUGAGGUGGUACUAUGUUUUUCUUGAUCCAAUAGGUCGGUGGAAUAUCCCAAACGAAGAGAGUCCCGAAAGCAAUCCAGAGGGGGGCGGGCGCCCAGGCCUCCAGGGCAGGCGCCCUGGGCCUGGCCCCGUUUCGCCUCCGCUUCGGUCUCGUGGCUUCUGGAGUCUUCUAGAUGAUGCAAAAUUGCGCGGUGCGUUGAUAUCUCUAUGUAAUCCCGACAUGUGGGCCUUUCUUACUUUCUUCCUUAUUUCCUGAUAACCCCCUGCAGAAACAGAUAAACAACAAAACUCAUGGAAUUCUGUCAGAUCAAACCCUAAUUCUAGGUGUUGGUUGCAUAUUGGUCCUUUCUCUUGUUUAUUUGAUAAUUAAAAUUGAUACUUAAGAACCGUCAACAAAUACCCCCAUACUUAGGCUUUUACUCGUCCUCGAGAAAAGGAUGGUUAAGAAAAAUAUCUGGGGUAAACAUUUUAAAAUAUUCUUUAUAUUUGCAGGGUGUUAAAAAUCCACUGUGUACCAUAGUCAGGGAUGUUUAUGGUCAAGAGAAAAGAUCCUUUCUUCUCAAUCCUGUCACUUGGAGCUUUUGUAUAUUUUUGAAAGAAAGUUAGCAUACCUUUUUAUCCUCAUAGGUUCUCUCAGAUCACUCAUUAUCUUUUAUAUAUCUCACUGAGGUUGUUUUAUUUUGCAAAAAUUCUCAAGCACUCUUACUUUGCAUUUAUUGCCUGAUCAAAACGGGAUCCGAGGAGGGGAAUGUCAUACUCUUAGAUCAAACACUUUGAAAAUUAAAAACUUUGUCAACUCUUGCUGGCAUAUUGCUUAUUAGAGGGACCAUGGGCUAUUAUUUUUUUUAAGUGGAUACCGAGGUAUCCCUAAUUCUAGUGCCGGGCACUUGUCCAUUUUUUUCUGUGAGGUUAUCGAGCACUUGCUCCUUUUUAUUUCCUCGAAAUAUUUCUAUUUUUUCAUAGCCCAUGCCUCUAAUGCAAUAAUACUUCGGAAGAGUGAAUCUUACUGAAAUAAUGUAUUGAUCUUAGGAGCAUGAUAAAUCUCUCAACAAGGGUCUAACUCAUUUUGAACAAACUCAAUACAGAGCAGAUAGCUUUUAUAAUCAUUAUUAAUAUUUUUAGUUUUAUCAGGCAUAUAAAACACUGAGGAUGGUAGCUAGAAAUUUGAAUAUUUUGAAAUAAAUUCUCCAAGCAACAAUGAUAUCAAGAAUAAGAAACUCAUACUCUACCAUUCCAUAUUGACUUAAGUAACACAGGGUUUUAAAAUGAUUUUAUAAUAAUUGCAAGCUUUCAGGAAAUAUCACAGAUUGAGAUUAAUCAUGAUUAGAAAUAUUUUAAUCUUUUUAAUUUAUCAUGUAGGAAACAGUAAUCUGCAUAAUCCAGAAUAAAUGUAUGUGUAAAGUAAAGUGUGCAGAGUGUGUACCUGAGUUGUGGAGUGGUGUAGUCGGAGUGUGUUUGGCAUGUCGCGGGAUCUCCCCCAUACUUGUUUUCUGCUUUCUUGCACAAAAAUAAAGUAGAGACACACAAGACAUAAUAAUAAAAAUAAUAAUACUCUUUAUUGAUCUUGAGGCAUUUAUUACAAAAGACUGAUAGCAAACUGAUAGUAAACUGAUAUUUAGCAAACUUAAGCCGAAUUUAAAGAUAGAUGACUACGAUGCAUUGCCUCAAGAUGUAAUCUAGAUAACUUAGCGGCGCUCUAAUUCCUUGAUCUUCUUAUUGGCACUGGCAAGAUCCUGCCUAAGGCCUAGUAUAAUAGUGUUGUGGUUAGAGAGCUGCCUUGUGAGUGAAUUAAUCAAGGACUGGAGGUCUAUGAUAACUCUAUCUAGCCUGCGAACUUCCUCAUCAAUAUCCAUUAUAGUCUUGCGACGCUUGGGAGGUGUCUCAAAAGCAUUGAGAGAGUGCUUCGGGGCUGCCUUUGGAGGGAUGAAACGGACUUUGGAUGCUCUAAUCCCUUCAAAGUAAGGCCUUUCCUCCUCCGUAGUGUAGCGUACGCUGCUGAUCUCGCCGCUCCGGUUGGUCUUGACUCCAACGACCCUCUCAUUGGGUCUAGGUGGAAGGAUCCUUGUGCCGAUUGGUACCUUGAUAGUGGUCUUCGUCUUGGAUGAUGGUCCUUUGAGGAGUAGGGGUUGUGGUGGUGCGGUGAGAACUGGUUGAGCAUGGUAGGAUUGGGCGGAGCUGCGUUGGCGUAAUGGCAUGGCUUCUAGUUGUCGCUCUGUGUUGGCCGGGACGAGAGCACGGGCAUCGGGGUCUUCCACUGGCUCCAUGUUGAGGUUGAAGGGGACGACUUCCCAAUCAUCGUGGUACUUCUCGGCCAUUGGAGUAGCAAGGAACUAAUAAAAUUUUAAUUGAAGUAGACCUAAUUAAGCUCUAAUUGAAGGAGAGAAAGCUUGGUGGCUUGGUGUUUGAAAACUGAGGUCAGGGGUCUGUUUAUAUAGGGGUCAAAAGGGUGCCUCUAUGGGUUGUUCGGGUUGCUCCCGUCGAUGUGCGUGCGAAACUUUCCAUCCGAGGGAUUAUUCGGAUCACCCUUAGUACAUUUUCCAUAUCAGAGAAAGUCGGGACCGAGGGGGAACAGGAGCUGGGCGCCCGCCCACUUGAUCUGGGCGCCCGCCCUCUCUCUGGCUCCUCUGUGGGCCCACUUUUCCGAGCGUGUUUCUAGAUGCAAAAUUAUUUAGAAAAAUAUAUAUAUGCCCCAAAACCAUCAGACCAAAAGUGUCGGGCUCUAAUUCUCCAUGGGAAGGUAAAAAUGGACUACGUCUAUUUCUUCAAAUUCCUCAUUGGGCUCUAAAAAUAAUUUAAGACGUUGACCAUUUACCUUGAAUAACGUACCUUCGCUAUUUUGAAGUGUGAUAGCUCCGUGGGAUGAUGAAUUGAUUACCUUGAAUGGUCCUUCCCAUUUGCUCCGGAGUUUUCCAUGCCCGAAAAGCUUUACCCAGGAAUUAAAAAGUAAUACCUUAUCUCCGGGUGUGAAGUCCUUCUUCUUGAUUCUCUUGUCAUGCCACCUCUUGACUCUUUCUUUGUAGAUCUUUGAAUUGUGAUAUGCCUUCUCUCGCCAUUCUUCCAAUUCUGAUAGUUGCAUUCUUCUAUAAUCUCCAGCAACAUCCAGGUCCAUAUUCCAUCUCUUUAUGGCCCAGUGUGCUUUGAACUCUAGUUCAACAGGUAGAUGGCAAGUCUUCCCACAUUCCAAUUGGGGUCUUGUAUGCUGUCCGGUAUGCCCAGAGUGCAUCGGGUAACUUGUCUUUCCAUGCCGUUCCCAUUUCAUUUACUGUCUUCUGAAGAAUAUUCUUGAUUUGUUUGUUGGAAGUCUCUGCUUGGCCACUUGUCUGAGGAUGAUAGGGGGUAGCGACGUUGUGACGGAUUCCAUGUCUUGAUAGAUAUUGCUUGAAGCGUUUGUCGAUGAAGUGUGCUCCUCCAUCACUUAUCACUACUCUGGGGACUCCAAAUCUUGGAAAUAUAAUUUCUUCAAACAUCCUCUUUGAACUGACGUUGUCGGCAUGCUUACAAGGUAAUGCUUCUACCCACAUGGAGACAUAGUCAACUGCCACCAAGAUGUACUCACACUUCUUUGAUGGAGGAAAUGGACCCAUGUAGUCUAUUCCCCAGACAUCAAAGAGCUCAAUCUGAAGGUUGUUGGUGAGUGGCAUUGCAUCCCUUGUAUUUAUGUUUCCGUGCCUUUGACAUGGCCCACAUCUUCUGAUAUAUUGCUUCGUGUCUUCAUACAUUGUAGGCCAAUAGAAUCCACACUGCCAGAUCUUUGAAUGUGUACGGAAUGCUCCAUAGUGACCUCCAUAUGGUGAUGAAUGACAUCUGUCGAUGAUCUUCCAUCCUUCCUCAGUGGUCACACAUCUCCUGAGUAAGCCAUCAGAGCAUACUCGGAAGAGGUAUGGCUCAUCCCAUAUAUGUGAACGACUUUCUUGAAUAAGCUUCUUCUUGUUUGCUCCUGGUCGUACAUACCCUGAAACCAUAAAAUUAACAAUAUCUGCAUACCAGGGGUCAGACCUGCUAAUCCCGUAGAGCAUGUCGUCCCGGAGUGAAUCAUUGAUGGGGGUUUCCUGUGGAUUCUUAAAAUACAUUCUAGACAAGUGAUCAGCAACAAAAUUUUCUACUCCCUUUUUAUCUUUUAUUUCUAAGUCAAAUUCUUGGAGUAAUAAGAUCCAUCUAAUCAGGCGAGGUUUAGCAUCUUUUUUAGUGAGCAAAUAUUUUAGUGCAGCAUGAUCAGUGUAAACAAUUAUUUUAGCUCCAACUAAAUAAGAUCUAAAUUUAUCAAUGGCAAAGACAACAACCAGGAGCUCUUUUUCAGUGGUUGCAUAGUUAAGUUGAGCUCCUGUCAAAGUUUUACUGGCAUAAGCAAUUGCAUGAUGCUUCUUAUCUUUAGUUUGUCCCAAUACUGCCCCCACAGCAUAAUCACUAGCAUCACACAUAAUUUCAAAAGGCAACGACCAAUCAGGGGGUUGAAUGAUUGGUGCAGAGAUGAGUGCUUUCUUUAAUAAAUUGAAAGAUGUUAGACAUGCAUCAUUAAAUUCAAAAGGAGCAUCCUUGGCUAGCAAAAGAGUAAGUGGUCUAGCAAUAAAUGAAAAAUCUUUUAUGAAUCUACGAUAAAAGCAGCAUGGCCAAGAAAGCUUCGAAUUCCUUUUAUAUUCACUGGUGGAGGUAGUUGUUCAAUUACUUCAAUUUUAGCUUUGUCUACCUCAAUACCUCUUUCAGACACUAAGUGUCCUAGCACUAUUCCUUCCCUAACCAUAAAAUGACAUUUUUCCCAAUUAAGGAUUAAGUGCUUUUCUUCACAUCUUUGCUAAACCUUGUCUAAGUUUUCAAGACAACUAUCAAAAGUUUUUCCAUAAACAGAGAAAUCAUCCAUGAAAACUUCCAUAAUCUCUUCAAUCAUAUCAGAAAAUAUAGACAUCAUGCAUCUUUGAAAAGAAGCUGGUGCAUUACAUAACCCAAAAGACAUUCUACGGUAAGCAUAAGUUCCAUAAGGGCAUGUAAAAGUGGUUUUGCUUUGAUCAUCAGGAUGGAUCGGGAUUUGAUGAUACCCUGAAUAUCCAUCUAAGAAACAGAAGAACGAAUGGUUUGCUAACUGCUCUAGCAUUUCAUCUAUAAAAGGUAAAGGAAAGUGAUCCUUUCUCGUGGCUUUGUUUAGUUUUCUAUAAUCUGUGCACAUCCGCCAUCCUAUGACGGUGCGUUGCGGAAUUAGCUCGUUCUUUUCAUUCAUAAUAACUGUCAUGCCUCCCUUUUUAGGCACAACUUGCACUGGGCUUACCCACUCACUGUGCGGCACAGGAUAUAUAAUCCCUGCAUGCAGCAACUUUAUAACUUCCUUUUUAACUACCUCUCUCAUAGUGUUGUUAAGUCUACGUUGGGGUUCUCGAGAGGGUGUAACAGAAGGAUCUGUUGGAAUACGAUGGGUACAAAUCAUAGGACUGAUUCCUGUAAGAUCUUGAAGUGAGUAGCCAAAAACUGAGUGAUGUUUCUCAAGAAUGGUCAUUAAUCACAGAGUUUGAUCCUGAGUAAGUUUAUCGCUAAUGAUCACAGGGAACUCUGGAUUAUUGUUUAAGAAAGCAUAGGUAAGACCGGGUGGUUAAGUUUUAAGCUCUAUGGGAGGUCUAGGUGUUUCUGCAAACUCAUCUAAGGGUUCAGGCUCGGAAGGUUCGUCUUCUUCUUCUGUGAAGAAAGGAGUUUCGUCUUCUAAGUCUGGUUCAUCUAAAAGCUCUAGAGAUGCAGCCUUUACUUCCUCCAUAGGAUCAGGCAAAAGAUAUGACUCGGCCUUAUUAUUUAAGGAGUGUGAACUUGUUAUCGAGAAUUUAAAAGUUUUUCCAAAAGAAAUGUGUAGCUUUCCAGUAUGACCUUCAUAAAGGAGUCUUCUAAAAGGUUGUCCUAUCAACAGGUCGAAGUCCCAUGUAUCAAAGAUAUAGAAGUUCAAAUGAACCAUGGAGCCUUCUACCGUAAGAGGUAGGACAUUAAUAAUUCCAAGACUGGGGACUAAUCGUCCUAAAGAUUCCUUUAUGACCUUUGUUGUGGGGGUUAAGACAUGAUUUUUAAAUAGUUUAAGUGCAAAGGAUUCAGACAUAAUGUUGAUCCCCACGAUAGGAUUAUAGAGAGCAUUAAAUCGAUCAGAAUUAUAAGCACACCGUAUAGUUAUAGAGGGUGUGUCCAAACGGAUCACAUCAGAGGAAAGCUCUAAUUCCUCCAACCAUUCGCUACUCAUUACUGAGAUAAGCUCUCUCAAUUGAUAUUCACUUGGUAAAUAAAUGCUAAACUGGCCGUUUUGGGGUUUGUCAAUAGAAUGGUAGUUUGUAAUAUUUCCAAAAUCGGCAAAAAGAUCGGAUUCUAUAUCCAGCAUGAAGUCCGGUAGUGGAAUUUCUUCCUCUUGUGGCUCAAAACUUGGAAUAGCUAAAGUAGUUGAAGAAUUUGGCAGAGUGUCUGCUUCGGCUUCGUAGGUUUCAUCAUGAAGGGUAUUAUCCAUCUCAGCUUCUAGGAUUCUAUCUAGGAUCACUCUAGCUUCAUCAGCAGGGAUGCGAAAGAAAGAACCUCUAGACAUUGUGUGAAGCAUUUGUUUGUGAUUUUUCUGAAGACCUCGAAAAAAGUGAAAUAAAAGAACAGGGUCUUCAAGAUUAAGGUUUGGACCAGAUUCUAAAAGAUCAGAAAAACGUUUCCAGGAUUUUCCCAAAGUUUCAUUAUCUUUUUGUUUAAAAGAUAGGACUUCGAGUCUAAGGUCGGCUAUACGGUCAAGGGAAUAGAAAUCUAGACAAAAGUUGGCUCGUAAAACUCCCCAUUCACCUUGUUGUUGACUUACCUUCUGACUGUACCAUUGUCUAGCUUCUCCCCUUAAAGAAAAAGGAAAAAGCUUCCAACAUAAAGUCUUAUCAGAAAUGCCUUCAAUGCGAGGACAAUCACAUGUUUGCUCAAAAUCUCUAAUAUGAAGGUAAGGGUUUUCGUCUUCUUUUCCCGAAAAAGAUAGGUUUUGAAUCAUGGCAAUCAACCUAGAACUUAACUUAUACUGGGAUGUUUGGAUAGGCUGUGAUGAUUCCCAUGGUAAAAGGUCAGUUGCUAAAGGGAUUGCAGACUCAUGGAUCGAUUUAGAAUUUUGGUUUUCCAUAAGGUAAGAGUAAAGAAAAUAAAUAAAGAGUAUAAAAGAUAAGAAAAGAUAAAAGUAUAGAUACAAGCUAAUAGUAAGACACAGGUUAUCUCAGCAACCGUCUUUCUCCCCGGCAACGGCGCCAGAAAUGCUUGUUGAUAUUUAGGAACGCAAUAAGGAAUUGAUCCGCAAGCGCACGGAUAUCGGUGAGCACUUCACCCGGGAAAUUAUCCAGAGUAUCGUAUUUAUUUUUUUACCACUAGGAGAAAGAGUGCAUCUGACUAACCGGUCUAUUACUACUAACCUUUAGGCACAAAGAAUGUCUUUCGAUGUGAGUGAUAAAUAGAGAAGACUGCAACCGUAGUUUCCUUCUAACCAUGGUAAGGAUGAUCUACUGUUCUAAUGGGGAGGCUAACGGAAUCUAGACACCACAAAGGAUGUUCGACCCGCACCUAUAAACCCUAUCCUUCCUGCUAACGAGAUGUGAUCUACAAAGGUAGCUUGGAAUUGUCACGUUCCUCACUACUACCACGGUCCAGCUAGUCAGGGAAUAUCUAUGAGUACCCCAGCCU
rnacentral:lncRNA from 1 species